rnacentral:rRNA from 1 species
GAUGAACGCUGGCGGCGUGCCUAAUACAUGCAAGUCGAGCGAACAGACGAGGAGCUUGCUCCUCUGACGUUAGCGGCGGACGGGUGAGUAACACGUGGAUAACCUACCUAUAAGACUGGGAUAACUUCGGGAAACCGGAGCUAAUACCGGAUAAUAUAUUGAACCGCAUGGUUCAAUAGUGAAGGGCGGUUUUGCUGUCACUUAUAGAUGGAUCCGCGCCGCAUUAGCUAGUUGGUAAGGUAACGGCUUACCAAGGCAACGAUGCGUAGCCGACCUGAGAGGGUGAUCGGCCACACUGGAACUGAGACACGGUCCAGACUCCUACGGGAGGCAGCAGUAGGGAAUCUUCCGCAAUGGGCGAAAGCCUGACGGAGCAACGCCGCGUGAGUGAUGAAGGUCUUCGGAUCGUAAAACUCUGUUAUUAGGGAAGAACAAAUGUGUAAGUAACUAUGCACGUCUUGACGGUACCUAAUCAGAAAGCCACGGCUAACUACGUG